rnacentral:rRNA from 1 species
GAUGAACGCUGGCGGCGUGCCUUAUACAUGCGAGUCGAGUGGGUUUAGACCCACGGCCAACGGGUGAGUAACACGUAGGUACUUUCCUUGUCACAGGAAUAACCCUCCGAAAGGAGGGCUAAUACCUGAUGUGAUCGCAAGAUUAAAGGGUAUCCGCAAGGAUUACCGGACAAGAAGAGGCCUGCGGCCUAUCAGCUAGUUGGCGGGGUAAAUGCCCACCAAGGCUAUGACGGGUAGCUGGUCUUAUGAGGAUGAUCAGUCACAUGGGCACUGAGACACGGGGCCGACUCCUACGGGAAGGAGCAGUAGGGAAAUUUGGGCAAAGGGCGGAAGCCUGGCGCAGCGACGGCGCGUGCGGGAUGAAGGCCUUCGGGUCGUAAACCGCGUUUAAAAGGGACGAACUUUGACGGUACCUUAUGAAUAAGAGGUUGCUAACUCUGUG